GAUGAACGCUAGCUACAGGCUUAACACAUGCAAGUCGAGGGACCGGCGCACGGGUGAGUAACACGUAUCCAACCUGCCCUUUACUCGGGGAUAGCCUUUCGAAAGAAAGAUUAAUAACCGAUGUAAAGGAUGGGGAUGCGUUCCAUUAGGUUGUUGGGGAGGUAACGGCUCAACAAGCCGUCGAUGGAUAGGGGUUCUGAGAGGAAGGUCCCCCACAUUGGAACUGAGACACGGUCCAAACUCCUACGGGAGGCAGCAGUGAGGAAUAUUGGUCAAUGGGCGUUAGCCUGAACCAGCCAAGUAGCGUGAAGGAUGAAGGCUUAUGGGUCGUAAACUUCUUGUAUAUAAGAAUAGGUAUUCUAUGAAUAAGGAUCGGCUAAAUCCGUGCCAGCAGCCGCGGUAAUAC
rnacentral:rRNA from 1 species